GGAUGCGAUCAUACCAGCACUAAAGCACCGGAUCCCAUCAGAACUCCGAAGUUAAGCGUGCUUGGGCGAGAGUAGUACUAGGAUGGUGACCUCCUGGGAAGUCCUCGUGUUGCAUUCC
rnacentral:rRNA from 3 species